AUACCUUUCUCGGCCUUUUGGCUAAGAUCAAGUGUAGUAUCUGUUCUUAUCAGUUUAAUAUCUGAUAUGCAGCCAUUGGUCUGCUCGAUAAUAAUUGUAUUUUUUAAGGGGAGAAAUCCAUUAGGAUAGCUUUCUAUCUGGCUAUCUGGUUUCUGUGUGUCGCCUAUGCCUUGCACUACAGUAUGUGCCGACUCAACCCUC
rnacentral:snRNA from 2 species